GCUGAGGUCUCCUAGUCUGGCAGGGAGCUAGCCUGCUAAGUUAGUGUGCGAAGCACGCGAGGGUUCAAAUCCCUCCCUCAGCGCCA
rnacentral:tRNA from 1 species